GCUCCGCUCCCGGUCCGCCAUACCUGUCAAGGCCGGGCUGCCUGUCAAACACGGCGCGGCAAAGGCCGCGGUAGUUACUCUGUCGCCUGGCUGCGGCGCAGUCUGUGCCCUGAAGUGAAGUGAAGUAAAAGCCGCUCAGUCGUGUCCGACUUUUUGCGACCCCAUGCACUAUACAGUCCAUGGUAUUCUCCAGGCCAGAAUACUGGAGUGGGUAGCCUUUCUCUCAGGGGAUCUUCCCAAUCCAGGGAUCGAACCCAGGUCUCCCCGCAUUGCGGGCGGAUUCUUUACCAGCUGAGCCGCAAGGAGAACCCGUCUGUGCCCUAAGGGGACUUAAGCAGCUCUCUGUCGAAGUGUGGAGAUUAGGGGAAUAUGAAGGUUAAGACUAUCAUCUGCAAGCCUCAGCCCUGAGUCAAUCUCAUCGCGUUGGGGCGUGUGUCCCUGGGGGACGGGCCGGGCCCCGGCAGUGGGCGCAGAGAAUAGCGGUGCGUAAGGAGCGUGUGUCCAAGACGAGCGGUGUGGCGGGGGCGUGGCCCCGGCAGUCCCCGUCCCCCCAGGAUCUGCAGAAAUGGCUUGGCCUUGCUGGAAACGCCUUCACUUGCCUUUCCCCUCCCACUAAAAAUGGCCUGGAGUCUGAAAGUCAUGGAUCGAGGUGCCAGCAGACUUCAUUUCAAGGGAGAGCUCUCAGAUGUUUCACUGAUGUCUGAUGUGGUUUCAACGCUUGAGAACUUACACAUCCCUGGCACCUGGUUUGCAGAUGUUGAUCUGACAGAUGCUGUUCUCUCCCUCCCCUGUCAGUAAAGACCCCCAGGAGCAGUUGGCUUUCAUCUGGCAAGGCCAGCACCACACCGUCACUGACCUAUCUCAGGUGUGGGCACGCUGCCUUUUCUCUGAAGAAAGGCUGCUCAUUGGACGGAUGUUCUUGAAACGAUUAAGCAGAACAAAGGGAAGCCAGUGCCUUGUGUGCAAGACACACAGAAAGGUCGCUUUGCCGAGUAGCUGGAAUCAGCCGUGGAAACUUCCUGAGCCCUUUGUGUUCCAAGGUUCCAGGAGAGGACCGCACUUUUUUAUUAUGGGAGCCCUAUUUAUACUGCGGGUAGAAGACAG
ensembl:lncRNA